UAAGUAGCAAAUGACACCCACCAGCAUCUGGUGAGCUGUCAGGUGCCAGAAGGUGUUUGUAGUGGUAAUUUGGCCAUCUGCAAUCUGUGUUGUCAGUGUAUUGUAAGUUAUCACUGUCUCAGGCAAUAUUAACUUGCAGUGUUCUUCUGACACUUCUUCAGUGGGUUGUGAAGCAGGCAUAUGCCUGUUUCAGGUGUUCUGAGUCACUUUUGUGGCACGCUUCUACAUUGUGAAGAACACAAGACAUAGGAAAAUAUGGCCCACCGUAAUUACAUAUUUUGCAAAUUACUUAGCAAGCUCACAAAAGGUUGUUGACACUCAAGAACUCCUUGGACUACUUUGUGGGUUCUUUCCAACUCAGGAUAAUCUAUAAUUCUAUGAAAAGAAAUAUCAGAUAAUCUCUUGACU